CUUGCCUCUUAGACACCCCCAAGAAGUCGAGCGUGCGACCCGGGAAACCAGAGACGACCUUUCAGAAAGUUUCUCCCUACAGUUUUGACAUCAGAAGAGGGGACUGAAGGAAAGUCCCCACAGUCCCCAGGAGAAAUGAACAACCAGGGAAAGCUACUUGCUGAGACCCCUGAAUUUGCUGCACCUUUGGAGGUGCUGGGUAAGUAUUUCUCUCCUACCUCUGCGGUUUUUGCAUUUUGAACUUUCAGACUUUAUUUUAACAUUUCUUUUUCCAGACUGGGCCAGAAACUGGCCAGAGUCAGACUGGGUUCAACUUAGAAACCAAUCUACUUCAACUGGAUGCAGACCAGUAUAAAGCCUCAGGUGAAUAAAAUUUUGUGUUAAGGCUGAACUAGCA
rnacentral:lncRNA from 1 species